rnacentral:sRNA from 1 species
CUGUUGACCACAGUAACUCAUAUGCCAGGUACAAUAAGAACAUGUCAGAAGUUCCUAAUUCGGUACAACAGGAGACAGCUGUUGAUCUUGUUGCAGAACUGCACUGAUGAAGGUAAGCAACACUAGCCCAGUGCCCACUGAGCAGUGACUGACCUUAAGCUGAAGAAAUCACUCCCAAAGACAUCUUUCAUCCCUGUUAUCUGCCUUCUCCAGGAGAGCGGGAAGCUAUCCAGAAAUCUGUGACAAGAAGCUGCUUACUAGAGGAGGAGGAGUCAGGUGAGGAGGCUGCAGAAGCAAUGGAGUGAACCUCUGCUCCCCACACAGCUGGCUACACUGCUCAGGCUUCAGGCCCACUUGUUGAACAGAACAAUUUGGGUAGCAACAGCAUCUUCCACAGUUUUCCAAACUGGAUAGCUGCCAACCAGCGCACAUUACCCACUUGGAGUACUCAGUUAAACUAAAGUUGCCUUUACCUAGCAUUCCCUGGUGAAGUGUUGCAGGUUGUGAACUCUGUAGACAUCUUUAUUGCUUGGCUAAGAGUAGACUUAAUAAAUGUAUCUGGUUCCCGUG